UAGAUACCCUGGUAGUCCGCACCAUAAACGAUGGAUACUUGUUGUUGGAGGUAUUGACCCCUUCAGUGACGAAGCUAACGCGUUAAGUAUCCCGCCUGGGGAGUACGGUCGCAAGAUUAAAACUCAAAGAAAUUGACGGGGGCCCGCACAAGCGGUGGAGCAUGUGGUUUAAUUCGAUGCAACGCGAAGAACCUUACCUAGGCUUGACAUGUAAUGGAAUAUUGGCGGAAACGCCGUAGCUCGCAAGAGC
rnacentral:rRNA from 1 species